rnacentral:rRNA from 1 species
CGUCGUGAGACAGGUUAGUUUUAUCCUACUAACAAAUUUUUGUAUGCCGAGACAGUAAACUUGCUCAGUACGAGAGGAAGUAGCAAGUUCUCACAGUUAGUUCAUGGAGCUCGCUGAGCAGCGAUUGCUCCGAAGCCAAGUGUGUCGAGAUAAAGGUUGAAGGCCUCUAAACCCGAAUCUCAACUGGCCAUCGGUGUAUAUGAGUGUGGCAAUGUUUGGAAAGAAAUAUGUGCUUUUAGUACAUGGAUCCUUAUUUUGAGAAUAACUCGAUAAUUGCUGCGCGAGUGAUCAAUUAUAGACGAUUUUGUUGGAACAGGCUGCUGUACGCACAUGAGCGAACUUGUUUCGCGAGUUGUUGAGGCUUUGGCCUG